UGCCUAGCAACUCCUAUCCCUACCUCCACGCGGUACCGGCCGGAAACUAUGAGCAACCUUAGGGAAGA
rnacentral:ribozyme from 1 species